rnacentral:lncRNA from 1 species
CAUCCAUCUUCUUAGGGGAGGGAGGGGGUGUUAGGUGGACCUGGUUAGUUUUGGAGGCUUUGGGUUUUUGCAGUUUCCAUCUACCCAGGGGAAUCCAAGUUCUUCUCCUCCAUCUUUCUCUCUCUCUCUCUCUCUCUCUCUCUCUCUCUUUUCCCCCUCCCCUCUGCAAUUCACUUCCCUCUCCCCACGUUGCACUUUCUUCUCUCCUCCGAAAUUGGCCCAAAGUCCUCCUUCUGGGUUCAAGAGUGGUCAGGAUUCAUGGGUCCCCUC